rnacentral:rRNA from 1 species
UACGGAGGGGACUAGCGUUGUUCGGAAUUACUGGGCGUAAAGCGCACGUAGGCGGAUUUGUAAGUCAGGGUGAAAUCCCGGGCUCAACCUCGGAACUGCCUUUGAUACUGCAAAUCUCGAGUCCGGAAGAGGUGAGUGGAAUUCCUAGUGUAGAGGUGAAAUUCGUAGAUAUUAGGAAGAACACCAGUGGCGAAGGCGGCUCACUGGCCGAUACUGACGCUGAGGUGCGAAAGCGUGGGAG